GAUCUCUCUAAUUACGGUUGUCUACAAUGGCAUUGAUUUCAUCAAGAUUUAAUUGCCGUCGACGCCAGUAAAACUCAUGUUCAUCAUCCAAGGCUUUUUCUACUGCACCAGUCUCGCUUGUGUACACUCGUAGUGUCAAGAGAAAUGGACGAGCCAUCUAAGGUUUCAUCACAACACGAGGAGGAAGUCAUUAAGAAGAAGUACGGAGGUAUCGUGCCAAAAAAGCCACCACUUAUUUCUAAGGUAAGAUUCUUAAAAGUUAAAACCAUUCACGAGCUACUUUUAGAUUAUAGGCUUUAAUGCAAAUUAAGGUAUUAUUGGUCUUAUAAAAGAUGUUAAACUUGACGUUCGGAUCAUGAACGGGCUUAUUUUGAUUCAGCCGACUGGGCUCUUGGAAAGCAAGGUGUAGAGAAGCCUAAAGGACCUCUUGAGGCACUUCGGCCUAAACUGCAACCAACUCAACAGCAAACGCGAUAUAGGAAAUCACCUUGUGCGCCAGCAAAUGGAGAAGAAUGUUGGAGUUGGUGGUAUAGAGAUUGGACCAGAAUGGUGUGAGGUAAACGUUCAAGUACCAAUAAAAAAAAGAUGAAAACGUGGUAAGACCACAUGGUUUAUUUUCUACAAUUCAAGAUUGUAUUGGUGCAUCCAUCGCGCCCUAUCCAUUCAUCUCGGUAGUCCAUGAGGAUUGUGGACGCAUGAUGACUCAAGAUUUUAUGCUUCUUAUUUCUUUAAUUGCUUUUAAUUUCUUUGUUAAAUGUUAAGACAUUAUGUUAGAUAAUUUUAUAACUUAUUUAUGGUUAGUGCUUUUGUUAUGAACAUGCUUAUUUGAAAUAUAAUGAAGUUUUAUU
rnacentral:lncRNA from 1 species